GGUUUAUGUAAGGCUUUUGAGUUGCUUAAGCGUUUUAACUCCUCCUGCGGGCCCCCUUGGAAGCCCCAGUGCCCUCUCAUUGUCUGCUCUAAGCGACUUCUUAGGAUCGCACCGGCCACACGGCUUUGAUUACUUCCUGGUAGGGCCCUGGUGCCACCGCUAGUCUUUGUUUAUUAGCUUUGAGAUGAUCGCUGGUAGCUUGGGUUAUAUUAAUAGUGUACAAUUCGAAUUGUUCACUUCAAAAAUCUUAAGUUCAUUUGAAAUGUAGAAAAACGGCGAUGAUAUGAUUUAGCUGUGACAUGUCUCAUGGGCCGGAGCUGGGAAGAUAGUUUAAAGAAUGCCUUAACAGUUUUGACAGCUUCUUAAAUAGUGAUUAUGUCCUUGGAAAAAACAUUGGUAGGUCCACAAAGAAAAAUAUACUCUGGGAUAAGGAAUAGAAAUAACUGCGGUUUCCUGGCGCGCUCAGACAUCUGAUGCUUUGCUUACCUUUGUAAAGUCAGAUAUCUUUUUCUGCAUGAAGCCUUUAAAAAUUAACCGGUUAAUUGGUUUCACAGAGUAGUAUUGCAGUUCUUUUGUGAGGAUGCAGAAGCUUGUGUAAAUUACCUUUUACCUAUAAAUCUGUUGGAAUGUUGAGUAUGGAACAACAAAUAGGGUGUAUGGCACUACUUUACAGAUUGGUUGGUGGUGGUACAUUAGCUAUAACUAGCUAUUGGUGUGGUGCUAUAAUUGUAACUUAACUUUUUUUCCCCAAAAGAAAUUUGAAAACAAAAAAAGGACCAAAGUUAACGCUAGGAAAAGCGUACCUCAGGGAAUGGUUGGAUUACUCUUGCACAUCUGUAGUAAACUACAGAAAGACAAAAUGGACAAUUAGUACACUUCUGGUAUUUUCUGGGUGAAAUCACAUCAGACUUAAAAAUGGCUUCACUGGGCACAUCAAUCUAAAAAAAAGAAAAUAAUUGUGCAGGUGGCAGAUACCCUCUUGUGAGUCAGUCUUGACUCUAUCAGUCAGGGAGUCCGCUUGACUGUAAAAGAGAUACAGGAAAUUGAGCAUCUCUUGAGGAACUUAAUAAGUUAAAGUGGAGCAUAAGGAGAUGUGCUGAUAACAAGAAUGAACUAGUAUGUUUAGCCAUAAGGGAGGAGUGAUUUCUGUCCAAGGAGUAAGAUGGCAUCUUUGCGUCUUGCAACAAAGUGUUCCUGACAAAGAUUUACACGCCUGGUUGUAGUCACUUGCUUAGAUUUGUAGAACCAAUAAAGCUAGUUUGGCAACUUUGUGUGAGUCCACAAUCUGAACUGAACCCAUUUCAUGCGGGUUCAACCCAUUUGAUAUAAUCUAGCAUUAUUGUAUUAAGCUUGAUCUUGUGUGCCUGUUGUUUCAGUGACUAAAUGAUCAGCAAAUCUGUGAGUCCUUAACUAACUCGUUAUCUUGGAGCGUUAUAUAGUCUGGUGUUUUUUUCGCCCAUACUCUUUAUUGUAUUUUAUUGCUUUUGGUAGGGGACCAAAAGGGUAGCUGAGGUGUUGAAUAAUACUGUGACUGGGUGUCAAAUCUGAUUACGUUCUUAUUAAGGAGGGGAAAAUCCCUGUUUUGGCACUGGGACAAUAAAAGUAAUGCCCUUGCUUUAUUUUCUUUGGGAGUUUGCAGUUAUAACACAGCAAGACAGCCAAGCAAAUUGCAAAAUCCCAUAACAUUCUGGGUUCCAUCAGUUAGCAGUACCUAACUGGACAAAUAGUUCUAUUUUCUUUGAGUAUCAGUUUCCUUAUAUAACCUGUAAAAAAGGAUACUUUGCAUUUACUUCACAGGUGGCUGUUACGAUGAACAUGGUAAUUUUUUGUGAAAACUUUGUGAAACUUGUAUACACUAUUCAAGUAAUAGGUGGUAUUAGAGGUCAGAACAUCUUUAUAAAGAGGACUCUGAAUAAUUAAAUAUCCAAAGCCCAUUAAAUGGGGACUAGAACAGACUGGCUUUAUGCUGAAUGAUGCUUUACAGGGAGAUACAGAACUGAACAAGAUUACUAGAAGUAAGAAGUAAUUUUACUUCAGAAUUAACAUGAGCUUCUUAUCCGUGGAAAGCACUGUGUGUUAGGUUAUAUAAUUGUGUAUUACAGCAGUUCUUACACUUUUUGUUUUUAGGACCCCUUUAGAGUCUUAAAAAUUGUUGAGCACUCAAAGAGCCUUUAUGUAGCCUGUAUCCGUUGAUAUUUGUCACAUUAGAAAUUAAAGCUGAGAAAACCUUAAAUAUGUAUUCAUUAAUAGGUUUACAAAUAAUAAUAGACCCACUACCUAUAACAUAAAUUGACAGCUUAUGUAAAAUGUUUUUCAGAACAAAAAUUUAGUGGGAAGAGUAGCAUUAUUUUACAUUUUUGUAACUCUUUGUUCAGCUUUAUAGAAGACAACUGGAUGCUUACAUUGCUUCUGCAUUCAGUCUCUUGAAGAUAAAUCCAUGUUGUGGUUUAAGGUAAAUGUUGAAGAAUAGCAAUCUCCUAAUAACGUAAAGGCUGAUUUAUGUCUAAUUGUUGCUUAAGGGAUUCUAAUUUUAAAUGAAAAAGUUUUAAAUAAAAGCUAGGACAUUCUCUCAAGCAUUUUGUUAUGUGCACACAUCAGAUGUUAUUUUCAGAAGCUGGAGGCUUGGGCAGUCCUUAUUUUUGUGGGUAAAAGAAUUUAACCAGUGGGAAAAAGCACAAAUUGUUUUAAAAAGAUGCCCUGAAUACAAGUGUUUGAAUAACUAAGGAAAGGCAAAGACCAAGCAUUUGAACUGAAGGGCUUGGGUUAAACAGACAGUUAAAUUAGAGAGAUUUAGUAGGGUAGGCAUGAUAAUUUUUCUCUGAUUAAUUCUUCAACGAGUUGAGAGUGCCUCUUUAAGUUUUCAGUACACACUUGCCUCAUAUUACUGUACCCAAGAAAAAGUAAUUGUAGAUCAAGUAAACGUUAUGCAAUUUUGGGUGGAUACUAGUGAUAAACUCUUUUUUAAGGGAUCCCUUCAGUAAGAUGAGGUGCUGAUUAUUGGUUGUCAGUGGUAAUAAAUUUGUAAUGGACUGAUCAGGUUGUGAUAAAGGUAAGAAAUUACCUUGAUGGAGUGAUGAGUUAUUUUGUAUCGUAUUUCUCCCCAACCUACAUUUAACACUCUUGUUUGCCCAGUAGACUAAAUUUUCUAAAUAUAGGCAGUCAUUUGGUUGUCAUUAGGUCAAAGGCAUUUACUGCUUUUUAGUAACAUUCUAUGAUGUAUUUAUUAAGUGUCUAACACUUAAUAGGUCAAUAAGUAAAUAUUUGCCUACUAAAUAAAGGAAUUUUCACUUAGAUGUGACUGGAAGGGUCUUUAUGUUGAAAAUAAAUGCAGAGUAAGUGGGCUUUCCCCCAGAAUGCUUUUACUGGCCUGCACUCCCAGUGUAGGCUGGAUUGUGAGCAAAUGACCAUUUGCAGUGUUGUUAUCACAAUGAAUUUGUAUUCUUUUGGUAGUCCGUAUCUAUAGAUGGGCAGGUGGACAAUUUAGUUGUAAAUGCAGAUAUGAUAGUUAAAAAUCAGUGGACAGGUGAUACUUUUUUCACAUUAAUUCUAACAUUUAGUAUUUGAGUUAUAUAUAUCCUUCUGAAGAAUUUAAACUUUGUUGGUAAUAUUUAUAAAGCUGAAGUCAAAUGUCUUUCUAGUCUUUCUGCAAUAUUCCUCCCCCACCCUGUCUCCCAGAAUCUUAAAGCAGUCUCAGCUUAUUUCCAGAGUCUCUAAAUGAUUGGUCAUGGAUGUGAAAUGUGUGAAAUUCAGAAUGUGCUCCAUGUUAUGUGUUUUGUUUAAAGAGGCUGCAGUAUAGAGAUUGAGCUUAACACUUCCUUGUUGUGAAGAAGUUUUGACACACUGAUCAGAAGUUAUUUUCCUAGUAACAUGCUUAAUCGUGCGUAAAGAACAUCCUUCAUGGUCUAAGCAGAAGAAAUGAUGGAGUUGGGGGAAGAACUCUAACUCUUUGGUGUGGUUUCCUGUUAUUUAUCCCCAAAAUAAUUUCAUCUCUUCAUUCUUUGCUUGUACACCAUUAGCCUUAGGCUCGUUUAACAGCCUCCUUUUUCCUCAUUGAAAUUGAUGUAAUUUCCUUCUCCACUGGAAUAUAAAAGAUUGAUUUUGGGUUCUUCAAGCUAGGUUUAGAAAUACUUAUGUUUUAUAGAGUUUGCAGCUCAGUGAGUAGACCAAUGAGCAAUUUACUGUGUAGCUCAGUGAGUAAUUUAAAUUCCUGUUUUAAAAUUUGAGUCCCUCUUCCAUCAGGGACUAAUUUACAUGUACAUUAUUUCCCCUAACCUAACCAGCUCUGUUUUUUUUUUUUCUUCUUUUUGAGCUUUUCUCCCCUUCCUGACCUUGUUUUUUUUUAUAUUUUUUCUUCUUUGAAAACAAAACGUUAGUCUCCUUUGACUAAGCUGCAGUUUCUGACCUACAUACAUACAGGUUUGUGUUCAACCAAGGCACUGAAAUAGAUUUAGUAGGUAGAUAUCAGUGUUUGAAGUGGAAAAGGUAUGCUGUUUAAUGUAUUUUGAUAUUUUAUGUUUAUUCAUAGCCUCUUUAGACAGGAGAACAAUUGCAUUCUAGGUGUUUUUAAUAGAGCUUUCCUGGACAGAUGGCUUGGAAGGAAGUACUUUGAUGGAUUCUCAGUAGGGGCUAGUACUUUUUGGAGGGUGUAUUUAUGAUUAAGCUUACCUUGAUUGACAAUUUAGAAUGCUGAGAAUAGCAUUAAGGACAGUAACAGCUUGUUGGUCUUACCUAGAAUUGUCUUGUGCCAAGACCUCUCAAGAUACACUGAGAUUUCUGUGUAGUGGUCUGUUUUGAGAAUGUAGGUAAGCCUAGGCAUCCUUGAGACUGAAAAGAAAUUCACCUAAAAUUGAUCAUUCAAUUGUAUCUUAAAAUCUUUGGGGUUUUUGAAUGAACUUUGGCUUAGAAAUUUGUAGAGAUCAUCUUUUUAACUGCUGUGAGUCUGCAGAUGUGAUUAUCUAUAGUAAUUCCAGAUGUUUUCUCAUCUGUUUUACUGAGUAGGAGUAUAACUGAGAACAACAUAAAGUAAAUUCAAAGUAGUUUGCUAGCAUUUAAUCCUGACUAAUUUAAUUAACUAUGCAUCCUUGUAGUUUUUUCUGUUUUAUAGAUUAUGAAACUGAGACAAAGGUUACGAGUUGCUUAAGAUGCAUGGGAGGUAUUAAAGGUAGCCCAAAGCUUCAACUGUAAUACUAUUCAGACUUUUAGCUUGCAUUUUUUUUUUUUUAAA